CCAAUGGUCGCUUGGUUUGGUUUGUCUGGUUCAGUGGUUGGCAGUGGUUGGAGGUCAGUUGGCAUGUUGCAAGCGGGGCCGCAUUAAUGCUGCUUUAUUGUCACUCCAACCAACAACAACCAAAGAGCAACACCACCACCACCACCACCGCCAACAGGCAAACUCCCAGCCCAGCAGUGCCACCCGGGGGAGGAGGAGGAGGAGCGGGUGUUGCGUGUGUGUGUUGUGUUGCGUUGUGUGUGCGUGUGCCUGUUGUCAUGCCGGUGGUCACUCGCUCGGUUCGGCUGGUUCGGUGGUUGGAGGUCGGUCGGUUGUUGCCGCCGCCUGUUGCGAGCGGGGCCGCGUUAACGCUGUUCUAUUGUCACUCCAACCAACAACAACCAAAGAGCAACACCACCACCACCGCCAACAGGCGAACUCCCAGCCCGGCAGUGCCACCCAGGGGAGGAGGAGGAGGAGGAGCAGUGGGUGUUGUGUGUGUGUUGUGUGUUGUGUUGUGUGUGUGUGUGUGCCUGUUGUGCCGUUGGUUGGCACUCCGGUUCGGUU
rnacentral:lncRNA from 1 species